UUUUUAAAAUUAUAUUUAAAUAUAAAAUAUGAUUUAUAUUUAUCCAUUAUACUCUUUAUAUUUAUUUAUUUAUUCUUUUAUUUUUAAUAGAUAAAAGUUGUUGUUACAUGUUGACUAUAAAAGAAAAAUGCUAAUAUAACUUGCGGCAAUAACUUCCACUUAAUAUUAACUCCGUCUCACUUCCACUUUCUAUUAUUAACUUCCACAUACUGUAAUUUUUUAAAAUUAUAGUUAAAUAUAAAAUAUGAUUUAUAUUUAUCCAUUAUACUCUUUAUAUUUAUUUAUUUUUUCUUUUAUUUUUAAUGAAUAAAAUUUGUUGUUACAUGUUGACUAUAAAAGA
rnacentral:lncRNA from 1 species